AUUGAACGCUGGCGGCAGGCCUAACACAUGCAAGUCGAACGAGCGGCGGACGGGUGAGUAAUGUCUGGGAAACUGCCUGAUGGAGGGGGAUAACUACUGGAAACGGUAGCUAAUACCGCAUACCAUCAGAUGUGCCCAGAUGGGAUUAGCUAGUUGGUGGGGUAACGGCUGACCAAGGCGACGAUCCCUAGCUGGUCUGAGAGGAUGACCAGCCACACUGGGACUGAGACACGGUCCAGAGUCCGACGGUAGGCAGCAGUGGUGAAUAUUGCACAAGGGGCGCAAGCCUGAUGCAGCCAUGCCGCGUGUAUGAAGAAGGCCUUCGGGUUGUAAAGUACUUUCAGCGGGGAGGCGUUACCCGCAGAAGAAGCACCGGCUAACUCCGUGCCAGCAGCCGCGGUAAUUC
rnacentral:rRNA from 1 species